GCCGGGCGCCCCGGUGCUGCGCGCCUGUAAGUCCAUCCGCUUGGGAGGCUGAGGCGAGAGGAUUCCUUGAGUCCAGGAGUUCCGGGCUGCGGGGCACUGUGCUGAUGGUGGUUCUGCACUAAGUUCUGCGUCAAUAUGGUGACCUCCUGGAGCGGGGACCACGAGGUCACCUAAGGAGGUCAGAAGUGGAGCCAAUCAAAACUCCCAUUCUGAUAAGCAGUGGAACAUGCCUGUGAAUCGCCACUGCACUCCAGCCUGGGCAACAUAGCAAGAGCCCACCUCUA
ensembl:misc_RNA Metazoa_SRP Metazoan signal recognition particle RNA